UGAAAGCAAGUGGUCAAUAUUGCAUACUAAUUGGUAGAUGCCUAUUUACAUACAUUUUGAUCAAAAUAUAUGUUUGCAUCCAUGAAAGCAUCAUAUGAAGGGAUGCUUAAAGUGUCAUAGUAGUUACAACAGGUAUGCCAUAACUAUUUGCAUAUUAGGAAAAAGAAAUGCGUUGUGUAUGCGAUAUUUGGUCUUCUUUCUGGUUUUCUUUUUAGUAGUUCUUGACCAAAAAUACCUGCAAAAAAAUAAAUAUGUUAUAUUUCAUAGUCAAAAGAAUCCAACAUACGUUCAAGGCAAAUAAUGUGUUGCUAAGUUAGUAAUAAAUAGCCAAUCAGUGAAGAUAGGAAAUUAUAUCAGAAAGACUAUGGUAGUAUCACAAAUACAUAGUAGAGUAGAGACUAAAAAUAGAUAAAUCAAAUCUACAAUCCCUUAGAACAAAUUUACUAAAGAUAUCUUCGCCUUUCUUCUUAUGUGAGUGCUUCACACACAGGCCCAUACUUGGCGAGCUCUUAGAAGAUUAUUGCGUGACUAAUUCACACAUCACACGUCACAUGGACUUCAGUUUCAAAGUAUUUGAAGUCCACUAUAAGAGUCCUUUGUAUCAAUUCUAUUCUAUUCAGCUCAUUUCACUUCAUUUCCAAAUCAUGCUCAAAUGCAUAUGACAAUUCCAAAAUCAACUUUAAAAUGUCUUAAAACACUAAGACAAAAAAAAAAAAAAAAAAAAAAAAAAAAGCAAAAAAUAAAUAACGAACCAGUAGGGUAACCAGUUGUGCUUCAACUACUACAACAGAAUACAGAAACUUUAAGCAAGUUAGUCGGUAUCCAUGUGUUGGUGGUUUCUAUUAAUAGAUUACCGAGAAUAUGGAAUUGUACACAAGGCUUCUAUACUCUUAGUUUGGAAUCAUUGAAUAAAAAUUGCACAAGUUACUCUGUUACCAUCCACUCUUCUUAUAAUGCACUUUUUCUUGUAUCAUGUUUAACUUAAUAUGUCACAUCAUUUACAGUUUCUAUCAUGCUGGAUUAUUGAAGUCAAUAACAGAUUCACAUGCUAGAAAGGUGGGAACUGAAGGUCAACCGUUCAUAUCGGUAAAAGCACGAUAACAUAUAAUUUUGAGUGUGAACGUGUUUAUUCAAUGAUCCACAACACUAAACUACGAAGUUACUCAUGAGUAUCUCCACCACGUUGGAUAAGAUCAAGUAUUUGUUAGCUUAACUACUCAAUGUACUAUUUAUUCUAGAUCAAAACAUCAAACAACACUGAUAGACAAAAUUCCUCCUUUUUCCAAAUUAAAAUUUCUAGGAAGAAGUCUAUAGCGAAUGAAUUUACUCAAAAAUGAAGUUAACUGCAUUCAAAAACACCAAUACCAAUACAGGAUGUCAGAAUAAUUUGUACAGUAAAAGACAAACCUAUUCUAGUUUCAUCAGUUCCAUUUCUAACCUUUUCCAGUCUCUGCUAACAUGAAGUGAUGUAAAUGUAGCAUAAACGAUUCUCAUCUUUUAUUAAGUUUUAAUUUGAUAUGACACACUAAAUUCAUCAUUUCUAAAACAAAGUUAUGACAUAGUUAUUUAUUUUCAUCAAGUGAAUUUGUUUAAAAAAUUCACUCCCGCAUGAAUAUGUGGCAGCUUUUCGCUAUGGAAGGAGCACACUGCUCGCUUGAAGUAUUAACGCUCAUAAAGGAUAAUGUGUUAGCAGAGCUAUUAAUUAGUGAGGAGGCAGCAAGUUGUCGCCUGCUUGUUUGAGCUUUGUUUGCUCUUGCUCGUGCUAGGAGGGCCUCUUUUUUAUUGGAUUGCAUCAUUCUAUACAGUUCGCAUCGCCUAGCCUUCUUGUAGGCAUGUAAUUUUUCAAAGUUUUUAUUUUUAUGAUUUUUAUUCGACAUUUCAGCCGCCGCCUAUUUCCUGAACGUGAAAUGUCAAAUACAUGUUGACAUAACUGAAUAUAUGUUCAACAUGGCUAAUAUGCAUGCAUGUUUAUAUUUUCAAAGAACCUGGGCAAAAACUCACAAUACCUAUACGUAAAUGAUGAGAGCUCAGAAAUUUAUCUUUCGGUUGGAACUCUACUGAGUAACAGAAGUGCACCACAACCACACAAUGGAUCGCAAGAACUGCAACAAUAGAAAAAAUAAAUUGACAUGGACAACAAAGGUCAAAAAGCAAAGAGGAAAUGGAAAACUGGAAGAAAAAAAAAAAUCACUGAAAGACCCACUUCUGAUGACACUCUAAAAAAGUAUAGUAAAAAGUGAGGUUUGAAUAAGGAAGUUUUCACUAAAUAAUAGGAAUAGCCGUUAUUGGAUACUUACAGAUACAGACAUAAAGAAAUUCAGUUUCUGGAUUAGACAUCAGCACGGAAUAACGUGGUCAAAUUCUCCAGUAUGACCAUUAAUGAUACUUCGAUAUUUAAGAUAAGCCGCCUCGCAAAUAAUUUCAAAAGUAAAAACUUUAAAUUAAGAACUUUUCACAAAUUACAGUUUUGCGACUUUGUUAUAAUAAGUAAAAUUCAGUGAUCAUAUACGGUAACUUUGUAAAUUUUCCAGCAGAGGAGACAUCAAAGGUCCUAAAAGUGAGGCUAUUAUGCAUUCAAACUUCUGUCGCUUUAAGACCCUCAAUGAUUCAAGUCGUACAAAUGUUAACACGUGAAGAUCAUCAAAUUCCAGAACCAUGUCAACCACCUCUUUUAAACUCAAGUUUAUUAGCUGCCGGCUUUCUCAAAUCCGGCAUAAGGAGUUUAGUGGCAACGCAAAACCAAAAAAUUCCAAAACUUAGCAUGCGUCGAGUUUAAAAAUGCCUUUUUAUCGUUCGAUUUAACACACACCAACCAUCCAAAGCAAGAAGUAUAGGAAGAACCAAGAAAACCAAAAAAAUCUAAAUUCAGCACGCUUCGAGUUUAAAAAUGCUUUUUUAUCAUUCAAUUUAACACACACCAACCAUGGAGUUCCAAAAUUAAAAUUCAUGAAUAGAACCCCAAAGAUGGGGCAAAGAUUAGAAGAAGAGAAUGCUGUAUUGACUUUUCACUAUUGAAUUAUUUUCCAACAGGGACGUUUAUUUGGGCCUCCUUGACACUGGAGUUGAAGUUGCCAGGUGUGUAAUUGCAGUGCCUAAUUUAUUCUUGUUUCUCUACUAUUAAUUAGUUGUAUUUUUCAUUAAAAUUAAACUACUAACUACUAACUUAUUAGAGGGUGAGGGCUUUAAUUAUUUGUCACUGUUGGGAGCUAAAGUUCACACUCUUUUCUUUCUUCUUUAACAUGGCUUAUGAUAAAGCUGCUAUUAAGUGUAAUGGGAAGGAUCCACUUACUAACUUUGAUCCUAACAUUUAUGAAAAUGAACUUAACUCAACUGAUUUAACAGAACCCAUGAACAAAUACUUAAAAUUUUCUUUCUUUCAAUUAACCCAUGAACAAAUACCAAAAAUUUUCUUUCUUUUAGUUAAGCUUAAUACCUAUAACAGUAUCAUCAACGGACUGAAAUUUGCAUGUGGGUUAAAACAAAUUGAAAGAGCAGUAGAAGGAGAAACAAAUACAGAAGUACAAAACUUGAAGUUGAAGAGGGCACAAAAGAAGUAUGCACUGAGCCGCGCUGAAACUUGAGUAAGCACUGUAACACUAUACCCAAAAAUUUCUUCUUUCAGUUUAGACUUAAAACUCAUAUCAGUAUCAUCAAUGGACUAGAAAUCUCAACCAAAAAAAUUGCAUGUUGGGUGAAACUAAUUAAAAAGGCAAAAAAAGGAGAAACAAAUACAAAGACGAAACUACAAAAUUGAAGUUGAAGAGGAAGGGAUUGUUUUUUCUAUCAGAUGUUUAGCAAAAAUCAUGGGCAAAAUUGAUUAAAAUUGUACCUGCAAGUAGAAGAAAUUUGAGUAAGAGGAAGAGAAUCGGAGAAGUUCAGAACUUGAAAGUUUAUUACAACCUUAAGCAUAUUUUACUCAAUUGGAGAAAACCUAAUAUGCUCCGUCAAAACAGGUGUGGGCUCAUCUAAAAA
rnacentral:lncRNA from 1 species